GCUGGGUGUGGUGGGGCACACCUGUAGUCCCAACUACUUGGGAGGCUGAGGUGGGAGAAUCAUUUGAACCUGGGAGUUGGAGGUUGCAGUGAGCCGAGAUAGGCCACUGCAUUCCAGCCUGGGCUAUAGAGUGAGACUCUGUCUCAA
ensembl:misc_RNA Metazoa_SRP Metazoan signal recognition particle RNA